AAAGGGUCUCCAGGCAGGACUUCGGGCAUUCCUUUCACCGGCGCCGGGCGUUACACAGGUUUGACCCCGAUAAGAUGCUGUCCAGGUUGGGCCAGGGAGAAUUUUAAACCUUGGAGAUCUUGUUGCUUAAUCGUCCUCCCCUUUACAAAGGGAGCUGACCAUCCCUGGAAAUGGCCCAGAACUGAGUGCUGAGCUGCUGGCCCCCCAUGAAGACUUUCGUCUCCAGCUCCUGCAUCCGCCUGCCUCGACACGUGUGUGCUGGGACCUCUGCGAUGGCCCUUGGGCUUAUCACACUCAUCAGCCUUGAACAUCAACUCUCAGGGAUCCACGACCACAGAGUGGCAGCCAGUCAAAGCAACUGCGUCCACUUGGCGUGCAAAUCAGUUGGCGUGCACAGCCCCCCGUGACUGCAGCCUGCAAGCCUGAGGAUCGGACACACUGCAGCUGACAGAAGCAGAAACUGAGAUAGAGGCCACAUGCCCACCCCAGCUCACUCAGCUAAGUAGGUGGCAGAAGUGGGAUUUGAACCCUGGUUCCAUCCAAGAUAAGGCAUAAAACCCCUGGGGUGAGUCACUGCAACAGAGCAUGAACCCAGGCUUAGAGUCCAGGCAGAAGAGACAAAACUGCGAGAAGACAGAUAAGGAACGACACUGUCUUCCCACUGUCUGCAGAGACUCUCUCCCUUGGAACGAAAUGAAGCCGAAAAGUAGGAUAUGAUGUCACAACAGCAGUUCCAUAACAGACAGGGGAAGACAGUCAAAGCAACACAGUACGGGCCCCUCUCAAGGCAGAGGACGUGAAGGUAAAUGCUGAUUCAGCGGCGGUGUGGAGUUCACAAAAACAGGAGAGGCGCUUUGCUCCCAGAUGAUGGAACCCGCAGAGGGGUGGGUUUUAUCUCUGGUUUCGGAACCUUGCAAAGGGACAGAACCUGGGGGAGGCUGCAGAAGGUGGGCAGGUAGCCUGUCAGUUAAAGUGAUGUCUCUUCCAGGCCUGCUGGUCUGGAAGGACCUGCUGCUCAAGAGGGCCAGGCAGUUGGUUCAACAAAGGGGCCUCCGCCGGGGUCUGCCAGGACCUCAUCAGAGGCCAGCCUGCCUCUCUCCAAGGCCUGCAAGUGUGUUUUGAAUCUCACGGUUCUGUAACCAGAAGAAGCGACUGUUUUUAACUGCUCCUUCCUCAUACUUCUGCUCUGAGGGCCGAUCCUGUCUGCUUCUUUCUUCAAGAAAUGUCAGCUGAAUGCAGCGAUCUGCUCUCCCCUCUGGCCCAAGCUCCACAUCUCCUCGUUGACCGCACUUUGAGUAGCAAGGCCAGAAACGACCUGGGGCCUGAACCCUACCAAGCCUGAUGUUCUUUCCAGAAGAAGAAGGAACGCGGUGGGUUUGGGAGAAGGAGAGAUUGGACACGGACUGCGGUGUGUCUCACUUGCACCCAUCAAGGGGCGGGAGGAGGUAGCCACGGGCCACAGAUGAUCCCGCCGCACAGGAUUAUUCACAGGUCUCACCCACGAGGAUUUCCCAUCCAGACCCAGAGAAAGUUCCAGAAGCUUCUUGAUAUUGCUACCCUCUGUACCCUCAGGAAGACUUAAGAGCCUAGACCUCUUAGCCGCACUCAGGCUCUGCAAGUGGCCAGAGUGUGUGCGGGGCGGAUGUCGGUAUGAUGCCUCUGGACAUCCCCUCUCAGCUAAAAUCAGAGGCCCAGGCCUCUCAUUCACUCAUUUAGUUGUUUUUUCACUUAAGCAUCCUCAGACCUCUGCCAGCAGCCAAAGGUCGUUAUCUAAUAUUCUCCUCUUUUAUCUUUUACACAAACAAUACUUUGCAGGAUUAAAAACCAUCAUUAUAAGAUUAUGACACAAACUUGGGUUUCAAAUAGGUCACUUUACUGGAUUGGAAGGGGAGGGGCAGGACGAGGCAGGUGACGGCCGGAGGCUGUAGGUGUGGCCACUGGGGGAGGUGAGGAGUGGGCGGAGGAGGAGGCAUCAACACAAGGGCCAAGCUUCCAGCUCAAGGCCCGGCGCAGGGUGGGGUCACUCCAGAGAUGGGGCAGGAGAAGAGGGCCACAGGCAUGGACCAGCUGAGAAAGAGGGGCUGGGGGUCGUCACAGCGGCAGCAUCCCUCAGGCAGGAGGGACUCCAGGUUGGAGUCUGCCCAGCUUCCAUCCCUCCCUCCAGACCCUCUCUCACUGAUCCCAGGGCUGAGCAACCCCUUCACACUGGCUUCAGAGUUUGCGGGGUCGUGGGGUGCUUCUGAGGCUCCACAGGCCUCAGCGAUUGGUUGGUCAGAUAAAGUGUAGGGCACCCACAUAAAUUAGAAUCUCAGAUAAACAACCAAUCAUUUUUUAUAGACAUAUAUCCCAAACACUGCCUGCAUUGCUUGUUUAUCUGAAGACUAAAGUUCACUGGGCAUCCUGGAUUUUUUUUUUUUUUUUUUGACUGUGUUGGGUCUUCAUGGCUGUGCACGGGCUUUAUGUAGUUGUGGCGAAUGGGGGCUACUCUUUGUUGAGGUGCACGGGCUUCUCAUUGUGGUGGCUUCUCUUUGUUGCACAGCAUGGGCUCUAGGCGCACAGGCUUCAGUAGUUGUGGCACGCGGGCUCAGUAGUUGUGGCUCGCGGGCUCAGUAGUUGUGGCUCGCGGGCUCAGUAGUUGUAGCUCGUGGGCACAGUAGUUGUGGCUCGCGGGCUCUAGAGCACAGGCUCGGUAGUUGUGGUUCAUGGGCUUAGUUGCUCCACAGCAUGUGGGAUCUUCCCGGCCCAGGGCUCUAACCCAUGGUCCCCUGCAUCGGCCAGCGGAUUCUUAACCACUGCGCCACCAGGGAAGUCCCGCAUCCUGGAUUUUUAUUUGCUACAUCUGGCAGCCCUACUCAGUGAGAACACAAGUCCCUGAGCGCGAGUCCUCGGGUACCACGCGGGCUCUCCCGCUAACAGUGAUGUGUUAGCACCUUCGGAUAACAGAGGGGCCGCAGUGAGGGCGGAAGCCAGAGGAGCCUGGAGUGCCUCAUCCUGCUGGGAGCGGCCUGGAUGUGGUCGGGUCUGAUCCUAUCAAGCGGCUCUCAUGAAAUUCUUUCCCUUUUCAGGCCUCGUCCCUAGAAGCUCCCAGCUCCUCUGCUUGGCCCAUGGGCCUCCUUUUCCCCUUUUCUCCAGAGUCCCCAUGAGAUUCUAGUGACUCCAGGUUUCUGUGGGUCCCUCAUGCACUAUGCUCUUCCCAGAUCCAUGCCUUUAUCUGUACCUCUGCUCAGCCUGCAGCCACCUUCCUGCUUCUGGGCCUGGGAUCAGGAGCCCUGUCCUGGCAGUGUCUCCUCUGGACACUCUCACCAGGGGUUCUCGGCACUAUUGACAUUUGGGACCAACACUGUCUCAGCCCCCAAAGCUCCGCAGCAAACCCAGCCUCCCUCCAAUCUCCCCUCCCAACUGGGCAGGCACUGGGCCCCUGGGAGCAGCCCCACCCUUUUCUCUCCAAGCCCCUCCCCCAGGGACACUCCUCAGACUAAGUGCUGCCCCCCACAGACGACCACCUGAUCUGCUCCUGGGUCCUUGGCCUCUGGGGGCCAGUGGGCAAGCCCACCCAGAAGCAGGCUUUUAGAGACCCUCAGGAGUUGGCAUCACCACAAGAACCCUUAAAAGUACAUUUUGCAAAUCUGCACAUGUGAUAAAAUGGCACAAACACACACACAUACACCAAUGUCAACGUCCUGGGUUUGCUGUUGAAUGACAUUUACAUAAAUGGAACUAUUGGGGGAAACUGGGUGAGGGAUCCACUGGACCUCUGUCCUCUCUGAUCUAUUUUUGCAAUGUCCUAUGAAUCUAUAAUUUUUUCAAAAAUAAAAAGGUUUUAUUUUUUUUUAA